GACGAACGCUGGCGGCGUGCCUAACACAUGCAAGUCUCGGGAGAAAAGGGUAGCAAUAUCCUGAGUAAACCGGCGCAAGGGUGAGUAACACGUAGGCAACCUGCCCAGAGGACGGGAAUAACUUCGAGAAAUCGAGGCUAAUGCCCGAUGACAUUCCGACACAGCAUUGUGUUGGAAUCAAAAGCCGAAAGGUGCUUCUGGAUGGGCCUGCGUCCCAUUAGGUAGUUGGUGAGGUAACGGCCCACCAAGCCAACGAUGGGUAGCUGGUCUGAGAGGACGAUCAGCCACACUGGAACUGAGACACGGUCCAGACUCCUACGGGAGGCAG
rnacentral:rRNA from 1 species